GAUGGCAUUGAAGCCUGGUUGCUUGUUACUACUCAGAAUGCCAUCUACAAAAGGAAAUUAUGUAAAAAGCAAUAAAGAACCCCUUCUGUUCUUGCAGGAGUCAGUGUUUCAUAACUCUUUCUGUGAUAUCGUCUGUAUGAGUUGAACCUCUAAAGAACCUUAUCUAAGUUGCCACGACCUUACUCAUUACCCUCAAGAAGAUGAACAAUUUAAAGGGGGAAAAAAAGGAAGUGAAAAAAUGGCGGAUAGGAGGCAGAUAACCUGUAGCUUCCACUCGAAGGGACAGAGCAGAGUGUGGAGACCCACAAUUGGAACUUUUUCUCCAAGAACUACCACAGGAACAUACCAAGAAAGCCAAGAGAAUCCACAGAACCUUUGGAGGAAGUGGUUUGUCACUGCAGGCUCUGUGGGACAGCUGAGGAACUGCCAGGGUCCUCUUUCCUGUGUUGGUCACAUCCUCAAAUGCCUUUGGAGCUGGAUGAACAGUCAGCUUGUGGGUUUUCAUGGUGAUUUCAACUAAUAUGUGGAAGGGAAGGAGGAGAAGAGGAAAGACUCAGUGAUGGCUACAGCAGGCAAACCAUAUACCACCACAUGGGCUUGAGGACAAUCUCGGACGUCUUGCAAACAAUCACCCACACAAGGUAAGUGGAGAGUUGCUGACGUAAGGAACGUUUCUAAUUGAGAAUCCCUAAUGCACUGUGUCCUGAUGAGUGGCGACCUUCUCAGCGAAGACUGACAACCACACGGGUUCCUACUUCACGACCAGACCAGGGUCACCAUGGAGACAUUUCUCAUUGGAUCAGCUUAUUAUGCCAUAGAAAACAUCUGAUUGAAAUGGAACUCACUGACCUAAAGCUCCUGAAAGAAAAUUUUCUAGGUCAGUGACAGACAAGUUGGCUGCUUCAGAAAAGCAAAAGAGUUGUGCCGUUUGCCUUAUUCCUCUGACGCUGCCGAGAGCCCAACUCACAGGCUGCAUCUUCACUUUACGACCGUGUUUAAUAGCUGUUAAGCUGCUGGACUUUAGCCUUUGCAAGAAUUCCCAAAUUGGACCCAAGGGAGAUUUGAAAGGAUUGGGAGGGAGAAAAUGGGGAAAGAAAAGUAAGGAACUUCAUUUCCUACUACUAAUUGCUUUUUCCACUGAGGUAUCUAUCCAUGGCCUCAUUUUAGUGAGGGAAAACAGUGUAUAGCGUAUUUGCAAUAUCCAGGGCCACAUAAUCGCUUUAUAACUCUAUAUGGGUUUCACAGCUCCCAGAUACCUAAGCCUGGCAUUCCAAUGAUAGCUGGAGUCAGCAUUCCUUCAUUUUAUGGUUUGCAUGGUUCCCUUUGCCCUGGGUUGCCCAGUGAAUGGCUGCCAUUCUGCCUGAUGUUGAAAUUCAAAUGUGCAAAGAAUUACAGGGGGCCCAACUGAAUGACCUGAGUGGCUUGACCAACAGGAAAGCCAAGGGAAUCAGACAUACCUUGCUUUUCAUCAUCCCUUUAUUUGUUUUUCAUUUUAUUCAAUUUGGAAAAUUAGAUAAAGCUGGCCCACUUCGUUUUCUACUCCUUUCAGCUGAACACAAUGAGUUAAGAUUUUCUUAAAAAAAGAAUUUGGAGAAUUUUAUUUAGGGGAAAAUUAAAAUGCACAUGUGGAAUCUUGUUGGCACAAGUACAUGAGCACAAAAUGUGCUAAGUUUCUAAGAAUAAUUAAGCUUUUAGAGUUUUUUCAUAUGCUACAAAAUGUUUCUCAAUAAGCACAAAUGUAUGCUAUUGGAUGGCCUAAAGAAAACUACUUAGCUGGC